AUGCAAAAUAUUGAUGGUCGGGUGAAUGUAGUGGACUCGUCGAGAUCGAGGGCACCAACGUCAUAUGCCGAGGGCGUCCAUCGACAACCUGCCCAAUGUCCGGAUUCACCGAGGAGUACAACUGGAGACACUAUUGGUUGCCUGCAGGCCUGUCUGAAUAUCGUCAUGAUCUUGGCUGAGAGGCUGGCAUUUUGGAAGUCUGUUAUUGCCGUUAUCUUCUUGGGAGUACUUGAGAAGGAGUGGCUGGGAAUGUGGGGACAUGGCAUGGCAGAGGUGCAUGGUUGGUUGGAGGAGUCACGGAGGCAUGAAUGUGGACAUGUGGAUGUUAUCGUGGCAUUGAUACGUUUCACUGCACCGAUGCUGCAUACCAAGGAUUCGUUGGAAGCCAAACAGGGCACCCGAGAAGGAGAAGAGGAGAAUGCUCUGAAGAGAGGAAAUGAUAAGUUUUAUCGUUUUGUUUUAAGAGCAAGAUAA
rnacentral:rRNA from 1 species